rnacentral:misc_RNA from 1 species
UUGUGGAGGAGGACGCCGAAGGUGGGGCUAAUGACUGGGGUGAAGUCGUAACAAGGUAGCCGUACCGGAAGGUGCGGCUGGAUCACCUCCUAACAGGGAGACAACAAAAUGUUAAAUAUUAAUUUUGUCACCUUAGGUCGAUCGGUAUCUCACAUUCUUAAUUUAUUAAGAAUUUUAUUUCCUAAGUUUUUUCUAGGUCACACCCAUUACUUUUUCCUGGGCCAUUAGCUCAGGUGGUUAGAGCGCACCCCUGAUAAGGGUGAGGUCCCUGGUUCAAGUCCAGGAUGGCCCAUAUCUCUAUGUUGGGGGUAUAGCUCAGUUGGUAGAGCGCCUGCUUUGCAAGCAGGAUGUCAGCGGUUCGAGUCCGCUUACCUCCACUGAUCACCACCUCUUCCAUAAUUUAUAGAAGGGAAAUGUUUUGAGUUGUGAUCAAAUUCUGAACGAAUCUAGCUUCCUAAUAAAACUUAUUAAGAUGCUGGACUCAUUGAAUUAAUUUCAUUGUUUUCAGAGAACCUUGACAACUGCAUAGAUUAUUUUUAAAGACAAUAAGCAUCUUUAAUGAUGCAGAUUUAUUAUUUGUGCGAAUGCAUUAAUAACAAUUCUAUUAAGCUGAUGCUUCAAUUUUGAAGUUAUUGGUCAAGCUACAA